GCGGCCCGGGCUUCAAAUCUGAUGCGUGCACUGUG
rnacentral:tRNA from 14 species